rnacentral:rRNA from 1 species
GACGAACGCUGGCGGCGUGCCUAACACAUGCAAGUCGAGCGGAGAUGUACUGAAGAUUUAUCGGAUGUACAUCUUAGCGGCGGACGGGUGAGUAACGCGUGGGCAACCUGCCUUUCACUGGGGGAUAACACAGGGAAACCUGUGCUAAUACCGCAUGACAUCACGUAGGGCAUCCUAUGUGAUCAAAGGAGAGAUCCGGUGGAAGAUGGGCCCGCGUCCAAUUAGCUGGUUGGUGAGGUAAAGGCUCACCAAGGCGACGAUUGGUAGCCGAACUGAGAGGUUGAUCGGCCACAUUGGGACUGAGACACGGCCCAGACUCCUACGGGAGGCAGCAGUGGGGAAUAUUGCGCAAUGGGGGGAACCCUGACGCAGCAACGCCGCGUGAAGGAGAAGGCCUCGGUUGUAACUUCUUUGAUCGGGACGAAGGAAGAGGUACCCGAGGAACAAGCCACGGCUAACUACGUG